AGGCCACCUUUCUUAGUAAAGGCUUUUGUUUGUGGUCUGCGAUGGGUCUAGCCCCGUGAGCCUCUCCAAACGUUCUCAAAUCGGCCUCUUUGUUGUUGUUGUUACGGGCGUACGGUACUACGGCCUUUAUUAUUCCACUUUCUCAAAAUGUAGAGCAGCGAAUCGAGAGUCUCUCGCUAUGUCCCCAUUCCUUUCUUCGAUUCUAUGGCCGAUCUUCUUUAAUCCAAAGCUGGUGCAAGCAAUCUCAUAGGUGGAUUCACGGGGACGAGAUAGGAAAGCAUCAAGCAAGAAAAGGCUUUUACUAAAUAAGGCCGGUUCUUCUAAGCAAUUAAAGGGCUACGGCUUUCGCGGGCAAUCAAGGCGCGAAUCCCUAGCUUGUUCGAUACCGAUUCCGUUAAAUAUUAAGAUUUGAAUGAAAGUAUAGUGUACACCCCGGCCGCUUUCUUGGAACUAAUUGAU
rnacentral:misc_RNA from 1 species